rnacentral:sRNA from 1 species
CACCACCAUCAUCACCCUGAGUAGUCUUUCAGGCGAUGUUCCGUGGAAGACACUCAACGAGAUCUUCCGGUGGACAGUCAGAACCAAUCAGAGCCCUCGGAAGAUCUUACUCCGGGGGCUUUUU